rnacentral:rRNA from 1 species
AGAGUUUGAUUCUGGCUCAGAACGAACGCUGGCGGCGUGGAUAAGACAUGCAAGUCGAACGAGAGAAUUGCUAGCUUGCUAAUAAUUCUCUAGUGGCGCACGGGUGAGUAACACGUGAGUAACCUGCCCCCGAGAGCGGGAUAGCCCUGGGAAACUGGGAUUAAUACCGCAUAGUAUCGAAAGAUUAAAGCAGCAAUGCGCUUGGGGAUGGGCUCGCGGCCUAUUAGUUAGUUGGUGAGGUAACGGCUCACCAAGGCGAUGACGGGUAGCCGGUCUGAGAGGAUGUCCGGCCACACUGGAACUGAGACACGGUCCAGACACCUACGGGUGGCAGCAGUCGAGAAUCAUUCACAAUGGGGGAAACCCUGAUGGUGCGACGCCGCGUGGGGGAAUGAAGGUCUUCGGAUUGUAAACCCCUGUCAUGUGGGAGCAAAUUAAAAAGAUAGUACCACAAGAGGAAGAGACGGCUAACUCUGUGCCAGCAGCCGCGGUAAUACAGAGGUCUCAAGCGUUGUUCGGAAUCACUGGGCGUAAAGCGUGCGUAGGCUGUUUCGUAAGUCGUGUGUGAAAGGCGCGGGCUCAACCCGCGGACGGCACAUGAUACUGCGAGACUAGAGUAAUGGAGGGGGAACCGGAAUUCUCGGUGUAGCAGUGAAAUGCGUAGAUAUCGAGAGGAACACUCGUGGCGAAGGCGGGUUCCUGGACAUUAACUGACGCUGAGGCACGAAGGCCAGGGGAGCGAAAGGGAUUAGAUACCCCUGUAGUCCUGGCAGUAAACGGUGCACGCUUGGUGUGCGGGGAAUCGACCCCCUGCGUGCCGGAGCUAACGCGUUAAGCGUGCCGCCUGGGGAGUACGGUCGCAAGAUUAAAACUCAAAGAAAUUGACGGGGACCCGCACAAGCGGUGGAGUAUGUGGUUUAAUUCGAUGCAACGCGAAGAACCUUACCU